AUGUCUGGGAGUCUGAGAAGACCUUCCCAGGAAUCUGAUGUGUGCAGGAGAACGGAACCCCAAUCAGAUGGAGGCGGCUAUGCAAAAGGAACAACUUUGGCAGGGGAUCGUAGGAGCAAUCUUGAUCCAGCAGGCACACAGUUCGAUCCAGGCGGCUCUGCCAGAAAUCCUAACACUACGACACCGCAACUAGUGCACAAUACUGCAACAUCAGAAGCAUUGGCUUGUUUGGUGUGGAACUGUAGGGGGAUUGGGGGAUCCAGGACAGUCCGUGAUCUUGUAUCACUCAAUCAAGUGCAUCAUCCUCAGUUCAUAUUCUUGUGUGAAACGAGACAAAGAAAAGAGAGAGUCAGACGUUUAUGUAGCCGGCUAGGCCUGAGAGGCUAUGCCGGAGUUAGCAGUGAAGGCCUCAGGGGAGGGCUAGCACUCUUCUGGGAUGACAAGUUGCAUGUCGAAAUACAAGAUCUCAAUGAACGUUAUAUUGAUGUGCAUGUUGGCUUUGCUCCGGGUACUGUUUCAUGGAGAUUGACCUGUGUAUAUGGUGAGCCAAAGGUGGAAAAUAGACACCUCAUGUGGGACACUCUCCGUCAACUGAAAGCUAAAUCUGCUCUUCCGUGGACAGUUAUGAGGGAUUUCAAUGAAGCCUUGUGGCAGUUCGAACACUUCUCGUUUUCCCGUCGCACGGAAUGGCAAAUGGAGGCAUUCAGAGAUGCAUUGGAUAGCUGUGAUUUGGUCGACCUAGGCUUCAGAGGCGUACCUUUUACUUAUGACAAUAAAAGGGGAGGGAGAAAGAAUGUAAAGGUCAGACUUGAUCGCGUUGUGGCGGAC
rnacentral:rRNA from 1 species